ensembl:lncRNA
GAGUACGUGAUUUUUGCAUCAUCGUCGGCGAUGAAAUGUUUCGGUUGCGGCGAGGAGGGGCACACCGUGGGUGCCUACCCGAGGCGCGGGGACCCGACUCCGCCUGGCGGGGCUGCGGCGGGGGAUCCUCCGGCCGCGGUUCUUGCGGGGGAGCCUCCGGCCGCGGCGCUUGCGGGGGAGUCUCCAGCCGCGGAGGUGGCUGCGGCGUCCGUGAGGCCGUUUCCGGUUCCGGUGCCGCGGGCCGUUGCGCUGCUGUGCCUGACCCACACGGGAGCAAGGCUGGACAUCAGCAGCAGUGGUACCCCAGGCCUGAUGGGGGCGCUGCUGAAAGCACGAGUCCUGUGCCUGCAGCAGCUGGUGGA